AUACGGAGGGGGUUAGCGUUGUUCGGAAUUACUGGGCGUAAAGCGCACGUAGGCGGAUUGGAAAGUUGGGGGUGAAAUCCCAGGGCUCGACCCUGGAACUGCCUCCAAAACUAACAGUCUAGAGUUCGAGAGAGGUGAGUGGAAUUCCAAGUGUAGAGGUGAAAUUCGUAGAUAUUUGGAGGAACACCAGUGGCGAAGGCGGCUCACUGGCUCGAUACUGACGCUGAGGUGCGAAAGCGUGGGGAGCAAACAGGAUUAGAAACCCCGGUAGUCC
rnacentral:rRNA from 1 species